UACGAAGGGGGCUAGCGUUGUUCGGAAUUACUGGGCGUAAAGCGCGCGCAGGCGGUCUUCCAAGUCAGUGGUGAAAGCCCGGAGCUCAACUCCGGAACUGCCAUUGAAACUGUUAGACUUGAGGACGAGAGAGGUGAGUGGAAUUCCCAGUGUAGAGGUGAAAUUCGUAGAUAUUGGGAGGAACACCGGUGGCGAAGGCGGCGACCUGGGUAGAUACUGACGCUGAGGUGCGAAAGCGUGGGGAGCAAACAGG
rnacentral:rRNA from 1 species